rnacentral:rRNA from 1 species
UAAAGCGCACGUAGGCGGACUGGAAAGUCAGAGGUGAAAUCCCAGGGCUCAACCUUGGAACUGCCUUUGAAACUCCCAGUCUUGAGGUCGAGAGAGGUGAGUGGAAUUCCGAGUGUAGAGGUGAAAUUCGUAGAUAUUCGGAGGAACACCAGUGGCGAAGGCGGCUCACUGGCUCGAUACUGACGCUGAGGUGCGAAAGCGUGGGGAGCAAACAGGAUUAGAUACCCAGU